AUUGAACGCUGGCGGCGGGCCUAACACAUGCAAGUCGAACGAGUGGCGGACGGGUGUGUAAUGUCUGGGAAACUGCCCGAUGGAGGGGGCUAACUACUGGAAACGGUAGCUAAUACCGCAUACCAUCGGUUGGGCCCAGAUGGGAUUAGCUAGGGGGUGGGGUAAAGGCUCACAUAGGCGAAGGUCCCUAGCGGGUCUGAGAGGAUGACCAGCCACACUGGACCUGAGACACGGUCCAGACCCCUCCGGAGGGAAGCAGUGGGGAAUAUUGCACAAUGGGCGCAAGCCUGAUGCAGCCAUGCCGCGUGUAUGAAGAAGGCUUUCGGGUUGAAAAGUACUUUCAGCGAGGAGGCGUUACUCGAAGAAGAAGCACCGGCUAACUCCGUGCCAGCAGCCGCGGUAAUAC
rnacentral:rRNA from 1 species